rnacentral:rRNA from 1 species
GUACACAAAAAUGCACAUAUUGUGAGCUCGAUGAGUAGGGCGGGACACGUGGUAUCCUGUCUGAAUAUGGGGGGACCAUCCUCCAAGGCUAAAUACUCCUGACUGACCGAUAGUGAACCAGUACCGUGAGGGAAAGGCGAAAAGAACCCCGGCGAGGGGAGUGAAAAAGAACCUGAAACCGUGUACGUACAAGCAGUGGGAGCCUCUUUAUGGGGUGACUGCGUACCUUUUGUAUAAUGGGUCAGCGACUUAUAUUCUGUAGCAAGGUUAACCGAAUAGGGGAGCCGAAGGGAAACCGAGUCUUAACUGGGCGUUAAGUUGCAGGGUAUAGACCCGAAACCCGGUGAUCUAGCCAUGGGCAGGUUGAAGGUUGGGUAACACUAACUGGAGGACCGAACCGACUAAUGUUGAAAAAUUAGCGGAUGACUUGUGGCUGGGGGUGAAAGGCCAAUCAAACCGGGAGAUAGCUGGUUCUCCCCGAAAGCUAUUUAGGUAGCGCCUCGUGAAUUCAUCUCCGGGGGUAGAGCACUGUUUCGGCAAGGGGGUCAUCCCGACUUACCAACCCGAUGCAAACUGCGAAUACCGGAGAAUGUUAUCACGGGAGACACACGGCGGGUGCUAACGUCCGUCGUGAAGAGGGAAACAACCCAGACCGCCAGCUAAGGUCCCAAAGUCAUGGUUAAGUGGGAAACGAUGUGGGAAGGCCCAGACAGCCAGGAUGUUGGCUUAGAAGCAGCCAUCAUUUAAAGAAAGCGUAAUAGCUCACUGGUCGAGUCGGCCUGCGCGGAAGAUGUAACGGGGCUAAACCAUGCACCGAAGCUGCGGCAGCGACACUAUGUGUUGUUGGGUAGGGGAGCGUUCUGUAAGCCUGUGAAGGUGGCCUGUGAGGGUUGCUGGAGGUAUCAGAAGUGCGAAUGCUGACAUAAGUAACGAUAAAGCGGGUGAAAAGCCCGCUCGCCGGAAGACCAAGGGUUCCUGUCCAACGUUAAUCGGGGCAGGGUGAGUCGACCCCUAAGGCGAGGCCGAAAGGCGUAGUCGAUGGGAAACAGGUUAAUAUUCCUGUACUUGGUGUUACUGCGAAGGGGGGACGGAGAAGGCUAUGUUGGCCGGGCGACGGUUGUCCCGGUUUAAGCGUGUAGGCUGGUUUUCCAGGCAAAUCCGGAAAACCAAGGCUGAGGCGUGAUGACGAGGCACUACGGUGCUGAAGCGACAAAUGCCCUGCUUCCAGGAAAAGCCUCUAAGCAUCAGGUAACAUCAAAUCGUACCCCAAACCGACACAGGUGGUCAGGUAGAGAAUACCAAGGCGCUUGAGAGAACUCGGGUGAAGGAACUAGGCAAAAUGGUGCCGUAACUUCGGGAGAAGGCACGCUGAUAUGUAGGUGAAGCGACUUGCUCGUGGAGCUGAAAUCAGUCGAAGAUACCAGCUGGCUGCAACUGUUUAUUAAAAACACAGCACUGUGCAAACACGAAAGUGGACGUAUACGGUGUGACGCCUGCCCGGUGCCGGAAGGUUAAUUGAUGGGGUUAGCGGUAACGCGAAGCUCUUGAUCGAAGCCCCGGUAAACGGCGGCCGUAACUAUAACGGUCCUAAGGUAGCGAAAUUCCUUGUCGGGUAAGUUCCGACCUGCACGAAUGGCGUAAUGAUGGCCAGGCUGUCUCCACCCGAGACUCAGUGAAAUUGAACUCGCUGUGAAGAUGCAGUGUACCCGCGGCAAGACGGAAAGACCCCGUGAACCUUUACUAUAGCUUGACACUGAACAUUGAGCCUUGAUGUGUAGGAUAGGUGGGAGGCUUUGAAGUGUGGACGCCAGUCUGCAUGGAGCCGACCUUGAAAUACCACCCUUUAAUGUUUGAUGUUCUAACGUUGGCCCGUAAUCCGGGUUGCGGACAGUGUCUGGUGGGUAGUUUGACUGGGGCGGUCUCCUCCUAAAGAGUAACGGAGGAGCACGAAGGUUGGCUAAUCCUGGUCGGACAUCAGGAGGUUAGUGCAAUGGCAUAAGCCAGCUUGACUGCGAGCGUGACGGCGCGAGCAGGUGCGAAAGCAGGUCAUAGUGAUCCGGUGGUUCUGAAUGGAAGGGCCAUCGCUCAACGGAUAAAAGGUACUCCGGGGAUAACAGGCUGAUACCGCCCAAGAGUUCAUAUCGACGGCGGUGUUUGGCACCUCGAUGUCGGCUCAUCACAUCCUGGGGCUGAAGUAGGUCCCAAGGGUAUGGCUGUUCGCCAUUUAAAGUGGUACGCGAGCUGGGUUUAGAACGUCGUGAGACAGUUCGGUCCCUAUCUGCCGUGGGCGCUGGAGAACUGAGGGGGGCUGCUCCUAGU